AGUCGAACGGAAAGGCUCCUUCGGGGGUACUCGAGUGGCGAACGGGUGAGUAACACGUGGGUGAUCUGCCCUGGACUUCGGGAUAAGCCUGGGAAACUGGGUCUAAUACCGGAUAUUCAUCUCCUGUUUCAUGGUGGGGGGUGGAAAGCUUUUGCGGUUCAGGAUGGGCCCGCGGCCUAUCAGCUUGUUGGUGCGGUAAUGGCGUACCAAGGCGACCACCGGUAGCCCACCUGAAAGGGUGAUCGGCCACACUGGGACUGAAACACGGCCCAAACUCCUACCGGAGGCAGCAGUGGGGAAUAUUGCACAAUGGGCGCAAGCCUGAUGCAACGACCCCCCGUGGGGGAUGACCGCCUUCGGGUUGUAAACUCCUUUCCCCCGGGACCAAACGCAAGUGACGGUACCUG
rnacentral:rRNA from 1 species